UACGUAGGAGGCGAGCGUUGUCCGGAAUCAUUGGGCGUAAAGAGCGCGCAGGCGGCUUGGCAAGUCGGGUGUGAAAUCCCGGGGCUCAACCCCGGGACUGCAUUCGAUACUGUCAGGCUAGAGGUAGGUAGGGGAGAUCGGAAUUCCUGGUGUAGCGGUGAAAUGCGUAGAUAUCUGGAGGAACACCGGUGGCGAAGGCGGCAUCCUGGACCAAUAUUGACGCUGAGGAGCGAAAGCCAGGGGAGCAAACGGG
rnacentral:rRNA from 1 species